rnacentral:rRNA from 1 species
GACGAACGCUGGCGGCGUGCCUAAUACAUGCAAGUAGAACGCUGAAGGAGGAGCUUGCUUCUCUGGAUGAGUUGCGAACGGGUGAGUAACGCGUAGGUAACCUGCCUGGUAGCGGGGGAUAACUAUUGGAAACGAUAGCUAAUACCGCAUAAUAGCAGUUAUUGCAUGAUAACUGUUUGAAAGGUGCAAUUGCACCACUACCAGAUGGACCUGCGUUGUAUUAGCUAGUUGGUGGGGUAACGGCUCACCAAGGCGACGAUACAUAGCCGACCUGAGAGGGUGAUCGGCCACACUGGGACUGAGACACGGCCCAGACUCCUACGGGAGGCAGCAGUAGGGAAUCUUCGGCAAUGGACGGAAGUCUGACCGAGCAACGCCGCGUGAGUGAAGAAGGUUUUCGGAUCGUAAAAGCUCUGUUGUAAAGAGAAAGAAACGAAGUGUGAAGAAGUGGAAAAGUUCCACCACUG